rnacentral:rRNA from 1 species
AGUCUGGAUUGGAUAAGCGCUGAAAGCAUCUAAGUGCGAAGCCAGCCGCAAGAUGAGAACUCCAUAGAGGGUCGUCAUAGACGAUGACGUUGAUAGGAUGCAGGUGUAAAGACAGCGAUGUCAAAGCCGAGCAUUACUAAUUGCCCGAACACUUUCUUUUG